CCUACGGGUGGCAGCAGUGAGGAAUAUUGGUCAAUGGACGGAAGACUGAACCAGCCAAGCCGCGUGCAGGAGGAAGGUACUGUGUGUUGUAAACCGCUUUUGUACGAGGGCAAACGCAGAGACGCGUAUCCGGAUGAAAGUAUCGGACGAAUAAGGAUCGGCUAACUCCGUGCCAGCAGCCGCGGUAAUACGGAGGAUUCAAGCGUUAUCCGGAUUUAUUGGGUUUAAAGGGUGCGUAGGCGGUCGGAUAAGUUAGCGGUGAAAUCCCGGGGCUCAACUUCGGACUUGCCGCUGAUACUGUUCGUCUAGAGAGUAGUAGCGGUAGGCGGAAUGUAUGGUGUAGCGGUGAAAUGCUUAGAGAUCAUACAGAACACCGAUUGCGAAGGCAGCUUACCAAGCUACUUCUGACGUUGAGGCACGAAAGCGUGGGGAGCAAACAGGAUUAGAUACCCCUGUAGUC
rnacentral:rRNA from 1 species